rnacentral:lncRNA from 1 species
AAAGUACUCGUUGCAAAGUUAUACUGUUAUGGCGCAACUUAGUAGUCUAAUGUUGUUCCGGUUUUGGUUCUUGUGAACAUUUACAUCGAUUCGUUCCAAAUUUACACUCUCGGGGCAUAAUAGAACAAUAUAAUUAUGUUUUGCUCUUUGUUCGAUUGAAUGAGAAAAAAUACUAGUUGCAAAGUUAUACUGUUAGGGCUCAACUGAGUAGUCUAACUUUGUUCCGGUUUUGGUUCUUGUGAACGUUAACAUCGAUUAGUUCCAAAUUUACACUCUCGGGGCAUAAUAGAAAGCUUUUACUCCUUGUUCGAUAGAAUGAGAAAAAGUAUUCGUUGCAAAGUUAUACUGUUAUGGCGCAACUGAGUAGUCUAAAGUUGUUCCGGUUUUGGUUCUUGUGAACCCGCCUGUCCCCUCCAGGACAGGCAAGCCGCAGACAAGAUAAUAAGCGGGCCCGCACAUUUAAACCUGGCUUAGUUACAAUCGCANNNNNNNNNNNNNNNNNNNNNNNNNCCUCAACGAGAAGAUAAAGCUAGUCCCGAUAGUAUGUCCCUAUGAGAAAAUCUUGGAGCGCAUUGGGGACGGUGGUUAUGCGGACUGUCGCGGUUGCCGGCCUAAAGCUCCGCGAUGGUGUCACAAUGGUAUCUACGUCGCCAAAUCUCGCGGAAGAUACAUACCGUGAUGCCGAGCACCGAUUGGUGUGUUAUGUGAACCGCGGGAUCGUCAGGAGCGUGACUGUGAGCUAGCCGUGAGAUGUGUUCCGGGUGGCGACGAUUGAGUAUGCGUCGAUGAAGGCGUAAGUUUGAGGGAGAGUCGAGAAAAUUUCAUAUGGUCGGGAGAGGGUCCGGUGGAGCGAGAGUCAUUCCGACGAUCGCGGACGGAAGCCACCAUGGGAUGCUCGAGAUCGAAAUAGAGGGCGAAUCACCCUUCACUUUAUUUGAGGAAGGUAAGCCAAGGGUUAUUAAGAUUCGACUUAUGGCUAUACUUGAUUAAAUUGAGUCGUUUCGAGGACUAGAAGCUCCUUUUAAGGGAGGGGGAAGGUAGUCGAGACUUGGUCCAGAAAAAAAUUAUGGAAAUGUACGGUAGGGAUAGUAAAUGGUGCGGAGUUUAUAAAAAAUAAAUAUAAUAAAAAUAUGUGAGAUACUAUUUUAUUGGACUAGCGAGUGGAAAGUAAUAAGUUGGAAAUGACUUGUGCGGAAAUCGGCGAAAACGCAAGAUUUAGAAUUUUCUUGAGGAAUGGGCAGAUAAAAUUAGCAGAAAAUGCACAGUGUCAGAAAAUUAUGAAACUGGAGGAUAUGUCAGAAUUAUUUUUAUGAGGCUAGAUUUAAAGUUUCAGCCCAUUCUGACACCGGAGCGUGCGAGAUCCGGAAGUGGAAAUAAAUCGACUGCUAUCCCUAAAGAUUACAGUUCGGCACAGUUUUCGGUGACCAAACGGGGUCGAAACUGAAAACUAAGUAUAUAUUCUUGGUCAGUACGUUAAACCGAGCCUGCCUGUCGAAUUUGAGCGCAAACAGGACAUUCAGAAGGGCCCCGACUGUUCGAACUGCGAAAAUGCAAGUUGUAAUAGGUGUGAGAGGGGGUUUUGUGCAAUUGUUACAGCAGCCUAUGUGGGCUGGUUGCAUGCGUACCACACACCCACAUACACACCUUCUCCCUCAAGUUCUCAUUCUCUCCCACUACACUCUUUUCCCUCUUUCUCUCUAGAAAGAAAGAAAGAAAGAAAGAAAAGAAGAAGGAAAGAGAAGGAAAAGAAAGGAAAAGAAAGAAAGAAGAAAGGAGAAAAGACAAGAGAGGAAGAUCAUUCUUCUUCCUCCCUCCUCAACCUUGGAGAAGCUUUUUAGAGGUAAGCUGCCAAACCCUAUAAUGGUAGAUUCCUUAAGAUAGGGUUAUGGUUUAGAAUUGGUUUGAAUGGAACGCUAUUGGAGCUAGUUAGAUGGUCUAGCUCGAAUUUGAAGCUUGAGCCAUGGAUUUCACAUUGUUGAAACCUAGGGCACUUCAAAACCCUAUAAUGUUAGAAUUUUUAGGUCUCAUUUAUAUGCUAUAAAAAUGGAUUUAUGGAAUCCAAUGAUGCUUAAAUAGAUGAUUGUUGCCUAAAUCAUGGAUCAAUUUUGUGAAUUUUGCAAAAGUUGAAACCUAGGGUUCAAAUAGCAAUUUUUGGAAAUAUGGGGUUUGAUUCUCAAUUAAACUCCUUGUAAACCUAAUUGCUAGGUCUAUAAAAACGUUGCGAAGACGGUCGUCAGUCCGACAGAGCGCCGUGCGGAGUUAUCGCCAAACAAGUACUUGAGGUUUGGUUGCCCGGAGUUGAAGCGACGUACGAGGAUCGCGGCGUUGGGUUUUCUAAUUUCGUGGCACUACAAGGAGGUGGGUGGUGACCAUCCCGAAGCAACUGGACUCCCCUUUAUGUCUAGUACAUUAAAUCUUGCAUCUUGUAUUCCCUUGCAUUAUAGGAUGAUUGUGCAUUGCCUUUCCUUAUGCUUACCUAUGAUGAAUCAUACUAUGCUUUAGUUGCUUGAUAUAGUGGAUGAUAGAUUGGUCGGAGAAUGUGAAUCCUAUAGUGCCGAGGUGAAAGAUGGACUCAAUGGUUGUUUGUAAUAGUAACAAAAGAAUGAGUGGCAUCUAGUUGAUAGUAAACAAAAGAACAGUGCAAUCACUAUGUGAGUCCUAGUGUAUAUGAAACCUAUGGACCUUGUGAUGAAAGUAACCCUAGAGGAUACGGGAAUCCUCGAGUGGAGAGGAUUGGAUCUUGCUCACCGGUCUGUUUAUACCUUGUGAUGGUCGUCCACACAAGUAGUCGCGCUCCGGAGUUGGUCACGUGGGAUAGCUAUUUGGGUCCCGAGGGAUAGCCUAUGUGGGGUCCCGCAGACGGUCUCGGAUUCGUAGUUUGCAGUGAUCUCCCUACGCAUCGAGAUGGCUAUGUGAGUAGUAGGUGAAACCCUCGGGUGAGCCAUAGAUUAAUUAACAAGUAAAUAACUUUACUUCUUGACAUGAUGACGAGUUAGUGUGCUUACCCAUUUCAUUGAACAUGCUUCAUUAUUUAUGAUUCGGGCAUAGUAGCGUAGUUUUCUAUUCUGUCCUAACGCUUUCCAUAUCUAUCUAUCUGUUUAUCUACUUGUGCCCACUUGGACCUAGUGGGAGACCGGCGGAGUCGGCGGCCGAACCCACUGGAAUCUAAGGAAGUUAGUUCUCACACCCCCAUUUUACUACAGGCGCGAGCGCGAGUUCACACGGCGAGGAUCGUGCGGUAAGGCUUAGCGCCCUAGAUGCAUUAGUUUACUUUCCUUUUGCAUUAGAGCCACCAUUUUGUACUUGAGAGUAGAUGAUUUAGGGUGUGAGGAAUCAUUUUGGAAAUGUAAACUCAUGUCUGUAUUUGGGCAGUUUAAAUGUAAAUCGAUGUAUUAAAGAGUUGAAUGAAUGUAAUAGAUAGACCUUCUCUCUUUAUCGUUACUUGUUCUUUAUACUUGUUCCUUGCUCUUACUUGUUACACUUGUUGUGCUCUUGUGAUUGUGUACUUAUGAUUUGAUUCUGGGUAAAAUCCUUGUACAUGAUCGUUGCUUAGCCUUGGCGACAGGGGAACCCUCCCUGUUUCCCCCCGUGUCGGCGUCUGUUCGACCGCUCGACACGCACCCAAAUUGUAGCGUCUCGGGGCGUGACACAGGGCAUAAUAGAAAGCUUUUACUCCUUGUUCGAUAGAAUGAGAAAAGUACUCGUUGCAGAUUAUACUGUAUGGCGCAACUUGUUCCGGUUUUUGUUCUUGUGAACGUUGACAUCGAUUCGUUCCAAAUUUACACUCUCUGGGCAUGAUAGAACAAUAUAAUAAGGUUUUACGCUUUAUUCGAUAGAAUGGGAAAAAGUACUCGCUGCAAAGUUAUACUGUUAUGGGCAACUGAGUAGUCUAAUGUUGUUCCGGUUUUUGUUCUUGUGAACGUUGACAACGAUUCGUUCCAAAUUUACACUCUCGGGGCAUAAUAGAACAAUAUAAUUAGGUUUUACUCUUUUUUCGAUUGAAUGAGAAAAAGUACUAGUUGCAAUGUUAUACUGUUAGGGCUCAACUGAGUAGUCUAACUUUGUUCCGAUUUUGGUUCUUGUGAACGUUUACAUCGAUUCGUUCCAAAUUUACACUCUCGGGGCAUGAUAGAAAGCAUUUAAUCCUUGUUCGAUAGAAUGAGAAAAAGUACUCGUUGCAAAGUUAUACUGUUAUGGGACAACUGAGUAGUCUAAUGUUGUUCCGGUUUUGGUUCUUGUGAACGUUGACAUUGAUUCGUUCCAAAUUUACACUCUCGGGGAAUAAUAGAACAAUAUAAUUAGAUUUUGCUCUUUGUUCGAUUGAAUGAGAAAAAGUACUAGUUGCAAAGUUAUACUGUUAGGGCUCAACUGAGUAGUCUAACUUUGUUCCGGUUUUGAUUCUUGUGAAUAUUUACAUCGAUUCGAUCGAAAUUUACACUCUCGGGGCAUAAUAGAAAGCUUUUACUCCUUGUUCGAUAGAACUAGAAAAAGUACUAGUUGCUAAGUUAUGCUGUUAUGGCGGAACUGAGUAGUCUAAUGUUGUUCCGGUUUUGGUUCUUUUGAACGUAGACAUCGAUUCGUUCCAAAUUUACACUCUCGGGGUAUAGUAGAACAACAUAAUUAGGUUUUGCUUAUUGUUCGAUUGAAUGAGAAAAAGUACUAGUUGCAAUGUUAUACUGUAAGGGCUCAAUUGAGUAGUCUAACUUUGUUCCGAUUUUGGUUCUAGUGAACGUUGACAUCGAUUCGUUCCAAAUUUAUACUUUCGGGGCAAAAUAGAACAUUAUAAUUAGGUUUUGCUCUUUGUUCGAUUGAAUGAGAAAAAGUACUAGUUGCAAUGUUAUACUGUUGGGGCUCAACUUAGUAGUCUAACUUUGUUCCGGUUUUGGUUAAUGUGAACGUUGACAUCGAUUCGUUCCAAAUUUACACUCUCGGGGCAUAAUAGAAAGCUUUUACUCCUUGUUCGAUAGAAUGAGAAAAAGUACUCGUUGCAAAGUUAUACUGUUAUGGCGCAACUGAGUAGUCUAACUUUGUUCCGGUUUUGGUUCUUGUGAACGUUUAUAUCGAUUCGUUCCAAAUAUACACUCUCGGGGCAUAAUAGAAAGCUUUUACUCCUUGUUCGAUAGAAUGAGAAAAAGUACUCGUUGCAAAGUUAUACUGUUAUGGGGCAACUGAGUAGUCUAAAGUUGUUCCGGUUUUGGUUCUUGUGAACGUUGACAUCGAUUCGUACCAAAUUUACACUCUCGGGGUAUAAUAGAACAAUAUAAUUAGGUUUUGCUCUUUGUUCGAUUGAAUGAGAAAAAGUACUAGUUGCAAAGUUAUACUGUUAGGGCUCAACUGGGUAGUCUAACUUUGUUCCGAUUUUGGUUCUUGUGAACGUUUAUAUCGAUUCGUUUCAAAUUUACACACUCGGGGCAUAAUAGAAAGCUUUUACUCCUUGUUCGAUAGAAUGAGAAAAAGUACUCGUUGCAAAGUUAUACUGUUAUGGCGCAACUGAGUAGUCUAAUGUUGUUCCGAUUUUGGUUCUUGUGAACGUUGACAUUGAUUCGUUCCAAAUUUACACACUCGGGGUAUAAUAGAACAAUAAAAUUAG